GACAAUGUCCCCAAGGGUGUGACACUGUCCCCAAGGGUGUGGCACUGUCCUAAGGGUGGUGUGACACUGUCCCCAAGGGUGUGACACCGUCCUGGGUGUGUGGCACUGUCCCCGAGGGUGUGGCACUGUCCCCAGACGGUGACAAAGCCCAGCCAGGUGACAAUGCUCCGGUUUAUUUACAAGCUGGGGGAGGGGGGGAGGUGGCACCGUCCCUGUCCCUGUCCCCAGGGCUCCCAGUGGCUCCCAGUAAGUCCCAGUUCCCGGGAGUGGCCCUGCAGCCCAAAGGGACAGGAGGGGACAGCAGGGACAGCAGGACACCGCCCCAAAGUCCCCGUGUCCCCUCCGGGGUCCUCGGCACAGCGGGGAGCAGCGGUGGCACCUCUGAUGUCACCUCCUGGUGGCACCUCCUGGUGGCAGCUCCUUGUGUCACCUCCGAGGUUCUUCAGUGUCACAUCCCAGGUGUCCCCAGGGUCGAGUUCUUGGUGUCCUCAAUGUCCUCGAUGUCCCAUCUCCAGUGUCCCCAGUGUCACAUCUCCAGUGUCCUCAGUGUCACAGCCCUGGUGUCCCCAAUGUCCUGUUCUCAGUGUCCCCAAUGUCACAUUCCUGGUGUCCUUGGUGCCCCAUCCCAGUGUCCCAGUUGUCCCCAGUGUCCCCGUGUCACAAGGUGAAGAUCUCGUCCUUGCUGUCCCCAGUGUCCCCAGUGUCACAAGGUGAAGAUCUUGUCCCCAGUGUCCCCAGUGUCACAAGGUGAAGAUCUCGUCCUCGCUGUCCCCAGUGUCCCCAGUGUCCCCAGUGUCACAAGGUGAAGAUCUCAUCCUCGCUGUCCCCAGUGUCCCCAAUGUCCCCAGUGU